UGGUUGAGGAGUGGAUCAUUAGGAAGCCACGUAUUGAGCAAGGCAUGACUUUGAUUCAAUGCCGAAUCAGUAGAUGCUCUAGCAAUAGAUCAUCGUUGGCAUGUCAAGAACUGAUUGCCUCGGUUAAAUUAACUCCGGAAGGGUGUUCUUCUGUAUCCGUAGAUUCUCUAAUGAUGGAACCGAGCAUUUGAUGCCGCUUCAUUUCCUGAGCUUUCCUUCUGUUGGAUUCAAGGAUGAUGAGCAGAGCCGUGAUAUCAGCUGGGUUUACUCCGCCAACUCUACUUGCCUGACCGAUAGUUUGUGGUCUCACCUUAGAUAGUUUUUCGCGGGCUUCAAGAGACAAUGUUGUCAUUGCAUAAUAAUCCAAGUCUUCGGGAAGUACUCUGUGUUGUUGAUGAACCAUCUGCUGGA
rnacentral:misc_RNA from 1 species